AUUAGUGGCGAACGGGUGAGUAAUACGUGAGUAACCUGCCCUUGACUCUGGGAUAAGCCUGGGAAACUGGGUCUAAUACUGGAUACUACCUCUUACCGCAUGGUGGGUGGUGGAAAGGGUUUUACUGGUUUUGGAUGGGCUCACGGCCUAUCAGCUUGUUGGUGGGGUAAUGGCUCACCAAGGCGACGACGGGUAGCCGGCCUGAGAGGGUGACCGGCCACACUGGGACUGAGACACGGCCCAGACUCCUACGGGAGGCAGCAGUGGGGAAUAUUGCACAAUGGGCGGAAGCCUGAUGCAGCGACGCCGCGUGAGGGAUGACGGCCUUCGGGUUGUAAACCUCUUUCAGUAGGGAAGAAGCGAGAGUGACGGUACCUGCAGAAGAAGCGCCGGCUAACUACGUGCCAGCAGCCGCGGUAAUACGUAGGGCGCAAGCGUUGUCCGGAAUUAUUGGGCGUAAAGAGCUCGUAGGCGGUUUGUCGCGUCUGCUGUGAAAGCCCGGGGCUCAACCCCGGGUCUGCAGUGGGUACGGGCAGACUAGAGUGCAGUAGGGGAGACUGGAAUUCCUGGUGUAGCGGUGAAAUGCGCAGAUAUCAGGAGGAACACCGAUGGCGAAGGCAGGUCUCUGGGCUGUUACUGACGCUGAGGAGCGAAAGCAUGGGGAGCGAACAGGAUUAGAUACCCUGGUAGUCCAUGCCGUAAACGUUGGGCACUAGGUGUGGGGGACAUUCCACGUUUUCCGCGCCGUAGCUAACGCAUUAAGUGCCCCGCCUGGGGAGUACGGCCGCAAGGCUAAAACUCAAAGGAAUUGACGGGGGCCCGCACAAGCGGCGGAGCAUGCGGAUUAAUUCGAUGCAACGCGAAGAACCUUACCAAGGCUUGACAUUCACCGGACCGCCCCAGAGAUGGGGUUUCCCUUCGGGGCUGGUGGACAGGUGGUGCAUGGUUGUCGUCAGCUCGUGUCGUGAGAUGUUGGGUUAAGUCCCGCAACGAGCGCAACCCUCGUUCUAUGUUGCCAGCACGUGAUGGUGGGGACUCAUAGGAGACUGCCGGGGUCAACUCGGAGGAAGGUGGGGAUGACGUCAAAUCAUCAUGCCCCUUAUGUCUUGGGCUUCACGCAUGCUACAAUGGCCGGUACAAAGGGUUGCGAUACUGUGAGGUGGAGCUAAUCCCAAAAAGCCGGUCUCAGUUCGGAUUGAGGUCUGCAACUCGACCUCAUGAAGUCGGAGUCGCUAGUAAUCGCAGAUCAGCAACGCUGCGGUGAAUACGUUCCCGGGCCUU
rnacentral:rRNA from 1 species